UGGGGAAUAUUGGACAAUGGGCGAAAGCCUGAUCCAGCCAUGCCGCGUGAGUGACGAAGGCCUUAGGGUUGUAAAACUCUUUCGUCGGGGACGAUAAUGACGGUACCCGAAGAAGAAGCUCCGGCUAACUUCGUGCCAGCAGCCGCGGUAAUACGAAGGGAGCUAGCGUUGUUCGGAAUCACUGGGCGUAAAGCGCACGUAGGCGGAUAGUUAAGUCAGGGGUGAAAUCCUGGGGCUCAACCCCAGAACUGCCUUUGAUACUGGCUGUCUCGAGGUCGAGAGAGGUUGGUGGAAUUCCUAGUGUAGAGGUGAAAUUCGUAGAUAUUAGGAGGAAUACCGGUGGCGAAAGCGACUCUCUGGACGGCAACUGACGCUGAGGCACGAAAGCGUGGGGAGCAAACAGGAUUAGAUACCCUAGUAGUCCCUGAGCGGGCUGGCAAGGCGCAU
rnacentral:rRNA from 1 species